GGGAUAUUGCACAAUGGAGGAAACUCUGAUGCAGCAACGCCGCGUGAGGGAAGAAGGUUUUCGGAUUGUAAACCUCUGUUUUUGGUGAAGAAACAAAUGACGGUAGCCAAAGAGGAAGCCACGGCUAACUACGUGCCAGCAGCCGCGGUAAUACGUAGGUGGCAAGCGUUGUCCGGAUUUACUGGGUGUAAAGGGUGCGCAGGCGGGACUGCAAGUUGGAUGUGAAAUACCGAGGCUUAACCACGGAGCUGCAUCCAAAACUGUAGUUCUUGAGUGAAGUAGAGGUAAGCGGAAUUCCGAGUGUAGCGGUGAAAUGCGUAGAUAUUCGGAGGAACACCAGUGGCGAAGGCGGCUUACUGGGCUUUAACUGACGCUGAGGCACGAAAGCAUGGGUAGCAAACA
rnacentral:rRNA from 1 species